AGAAGGAUGCGGAGGUAGGUGGGGCUGUUGCUCCGCUCGGGACCCCAUUGGGUAGUCGAUGCAAGGAGGGGAAAAUGGCGGAGUGAGGGGAAGAAGUGAAGUAAGAGCCGUGGGCUGCGGCCCAAUGGCCUCAGCUGAGGUCCAUACAUAAACCAUCUUGAUUGCCAGGUGGAACAAGAAAAUUGCUUUACCAGAAAGCUAAAGACAUUAUACAUGAAGAUUUGUGCGGCCCUGAAACAAACAGUGGUUUUAACUUGUUGUGGUGUAGUCUUAGGUUUUGGAAGGAGCUGAGCGGAAAGAUGGGAUUCCUCCCCUUGGACAUGAAUUCUCCAAGUCUAAAUGCUAACUCUAGAGGUUUCUGAAUCAAGACUCUGUGCAAGAGCAAACCUCAUUAAUAUGAAUUUGAAGAUAACUACUCAAAAAAAUAACAAUUAAGGCAAGCAGUUAAGAUAAGGACCUUUAUGGUGGAUGCAGCCAAGUCUGAUCUUGAAGCAUCAUCUGUUCAGGAAAUUACUUGUGAUGAAAGAAGUCAUCUCCAUGAAAGAAAAUGAAGAACCCCUGCUCUGUUUCUGGUCCAGCUCUUCAACAUUUGACAUAUGAAGUUCUUGCAAAACAACUGAAAUGAAUAGCUUACAUUUCACAGAAAGUGUCAACUUCACUAGGUCUUUGCUCAGGAGUUUCUGUUGUCUAGAAGAGAUUGUGCAUACAGGCACUGGCAAAAGACAGUACUGAUUGGUAUUUUUUACCUCUUUUCAAAAUACCUUGGUUAACUGUCAACUCUCUACAUAACCUUGGAGAAUCUAGCAAACUGAUGAGUCUUAUGAACAUAAUGCCAGUCUUUCAACAUGAAAAGUUGUGGUAGGCUAACUAGGAUGUAUGUGUUCUCUAAAGUGAGGAAUCUUAAAAUACUCUCUGAAAAAUACCUCAGCUGGGAUUUUUCAGCCCUUAAAAGUUACCGAUUUAUAGAAAACCGUCUUAAUGUUGCUGUCUUUAGCAGCUUGUGCAAAGAAACUGAUUGGCAUUUUGUCCACUGUCUGAGUGCAUCCUUGUUUUUAAAGAAACCCAACAAAUCUGCAUGUUUACAUCUACAUAUUUGCUGGAAAGGAGAUGUUGCUGCUAUUCUGACAAAUCCCUUCUCAAGGUGAAGCUCUGAUUAAAAGUACAUGCAAGCAAGCUGAGAGGAAUGGGGGGGGGGUGGAGGGGUUAAGCAGCAUCUCCAUUUGUCCCUACAGAAUUUAGCAGCAAAAUGAGCAAUAGGUUUCUCCAGUUCAAGUUUUUACCCCAGAGGGAACAAAUGUGAUAGUGAAAAAAUAUAUGUGAAAUUAUCCACCACUUAGAUGAACAAAGGCUAGACACACUCAAGAAGGGCUUCUUCACUGCUUCCUUUGGUGUCUCCACUUGCAGUUAAGGUGGAAGUUGUGAUUUUAACAAGUUUACACAGGAUUCUUUAUUGUCUGUGUGUGACUUUUAUGGGACAUUUUGCUUUAGCACAGGAUAAUAGAUAAUUGCCAGGAUUGGUGGCUUCCUGGUAUAAAGGUCUUAUCUAUUUAUGCUGAACCUGGAGCCCUCAGUAGUGCACCUUACUUAUUAAAUGUGAAUUUAGAACAGGUUUGCCAGAUGAUUAAAAAUCCCUUAUCGGGAUUUAAAUGGUGAUAUGUUUUGUAAUAACUGUCAAUAUUGGCUAACAAAAAUUCUUAGAAUAGCCUAGCAUCUGGUGAUAGAUAGCAAGGGCAUUAUUUUCUGGCAUGGACAUGAAUAAAUGGACCAUACCAUUAACUAA